CUUAUAGGAAAAUCAGUGGCUAUGGUUUUUUUUGUUUUUUGUUUUUUGCAUUUCCUUCUGUCAUCCAUUGCAAAGACGUCCAGCUUCAGGGUAGUAUGGAAAGAUCCCUGGUCUCGCAGUCAGAAGACCCGAGUUCAAGAUGUGGGAUCUCUAAACAUGGCCCUUCAGUUCUUUCUUCCGAGACCCGUGCUGAUGGCCAAGCAAGAUGAGGGCUAUGAAAAGCCUCUGUAGACUGCACAAUGAGCAUGGGAGAGGCUGUCAUCAUUCUGGAAUUGGGAGACAGAUUUACAGAGGGCCUCAACACAAGAUUGAAGGUGGUGAAUUUCCAUUCGGCUGCCUGGGUGUCUGCAUGUAUAAAAAGCAAACCUAAGUGGUUUUUUUCUCUUCCAAGUGAAGAUGAAAGUGUUAAAAAUAGCAAGGAGGUGAAAGUGUUCAAAAUAGCAAAGUGGCCUGUCUCCUCUUCUCCUAAGCAGACUGUCCAAACAGACGCACAGUAGGAGGAGCACCUUUUGAUGCUUGGCAUGUGGUGGUGAUGCUUCCUCUCUCCUAGCACAGGACCUGGCUUUGUCAUCUCCAGACCUAACUGGGAGCACCGAGGGUCCUAACCAGGCAAAUGCAAGCUCUAAUGGGCUCUUUGAAAACAGGCUUUUCUAGAAGCAGGAACCCCAAGUAAAAUUUCCCCAGCUGCCUCUAAGGCCCAUCACACUCCUGUCUCAUGCCCACCUAUGAGAAAGGAAAAGGUGAUGGUCAUUGAGCUGUGCUGCAGAGGAGUGUGAGGUGCAGACACCAUGGGGUACCCACAGCCAGGAAAAUGAGGAUGGUGGGGGAGAGGCACCGGGGAAGAGCUGGGCCCCUGCCUGGGACCCCUCAGUGAUUCCCAGGGGGCGUGGGACUUUCGCAGUCCUUUCAGAGGGCUGUUUACCAACAGGCACCAUAACAUUAAACCUGCUCAGACCCCUUGACUCAGCAAUUUCAUGUCUGGGAAUAUAUCUUAGAAAAUAAUCAGAGAUGCUACCAACAUAUGUUAUGCUGAUGUAUGACAGAAUUAUUAUACAAAUAUAUCCAUAGUAACAGGGGGUUUGCUGAAAUAAAUUAUCGUAUAUUCAUAUAAUAUAACACUGUCAGGCCAUUAAAAAUCACAGUUUCAAAGAUAAUAAAAUGGGAACAUGCUCAUAGUAUAGUUUUUUUAAAUUGCAGAUGGUAUAUGGCUAAAAAUGUCUAAUAAUGCAAAGAUGUAUACAGACCUUAAUCCUCUAGCCUCCUCCCUACAGAUGACCUCUGUUAAUUUCUCAAAUAUUUUUCUGGAUAUUUUACACACAUACACACACACACACACACACACAUUCUUUUUAAACAAAGGGUAUCAUUCUAUAGUCAUUACACAUCUUAAUUUUUUUUUUUUUUUGAGACAGAGUUUCACUCUUGUCACCCAGGCUGGAGUGCAAUGGUGUGAUCUCGGCUCACUGCAACUUCCACGUCCCGAGUUCAAGAGAUUCUCCUACCUCAGUCUCCCGAGUAGCUGGGAUUACAGGUGCCUGCCACCUUGCCCGGCUGAUUUUUUGUAUUUUUAGUAGAGACGGGGUUUCACCACAUUGGUCAGGCUGGUCUCGAACUCCUGACCUCAGGUGAUCUGCCUGCCUUGGCCUCCCAAAGUGCUGGGAUUACAGGCGUGAGCCACUGUGCCCAGCCAUUCAUCUUAAUUUUUAAAAAAUCUAACCAUGAAGCCUUGGUUGUCUUGGAGAUCUUUCCUUAUUAGCACACACACAAAAAAAUCCAAUUCUUUACAGCUGCAUACUAUUCCAUCAUUUGUAUGUAUCAUAUUUUAUUUAACCAUCCUGCUAUUAGUGACCAUUGAGUUGGCUUCCUGUGUUUUGCCAUUACAUGGUUGCAACAAACAUGUUUGCAUGUGUCUGCCCUCAUGUGCAUGUAAAUCUGAAUGAUACAUGAUUGAUUUGAUAGAUUUUAGGAAUUACAUCAUUCAUUCAUGCACUCAACAAAUAUUUAAUGAGUGCCUACUCUCUGAUAGCUGCUGUUAGAUGUGGCUAAAUUUUAAAGUGUAGAAUUUAAAAGGUGGCUACCAAAUUCCAUGUGCAAAAUGACCCCACGCAUGUAUAAAAACACACACAUCCACAGAUUUAUAUGUAGGAGAGAAGAUGUGGUCCCUGGCCUCUAGGCUCUCUCAGUCUGUGGCAGGACAGACAGACAUGUGCACGUGGCACUGUAAGGUUGAGCACAGUCUAAGUACUCAGCAUGGUCUCUGGCACAUGGUAGGUGCCCAAGAAAUACAUGUUGAAUGAAUUGAGGGGGUAACGCCUUCCAGGGCAGGCAGCCUCUGAGCUCAGCCUUCAGUGUUCCGUAGGUUGAAUUAUCUGCCAGAGACGUGGCAAAAGGGAGAGGAACCAAGACAGAGGCACAGAGGUUCAAACGUACCCGGCACAUUCAGAGAAUCCUUUUCAGAGUCACAUCCCCAAGAGUUUCUGUGUUCUGUACGGUGAUGUUGUAGUGCUGUUUUUCCACAGUCUCGCUCCAUCGGCCUCAAUCCGCUGUACGUCAUGCUGCCCUGUACCCUGAGUGCCUCCUUUGCCUUCAUGUUGCCUGUGGCCACCCCUCCGAAUGCCAUCGUGUUCACCUACGGGCACCUCAAGGUUGCUGACAUGGUAACACAGCUGUUUUUAUUUACUCCCGUUGGACUGUAAUGCUGUUGUCAUAAGGGAUGCCCCAUUUACGAAUCACAGAGUUUCAAAACGAUGUCAUAUGACUUGGGAAUACCAUGGAACAUCCAGACCUGUAGCCAUUGUUGACAUUUAUAAUGCAGCUUUUCUUCUUUUUUUGAGAUGAUCUCAAGCCUCACACACUGUUCUUUCUCUGAGGUGGGUUAUAGACCCCCACCUGGAGAAGCCUGUGCAGGCACCAGGGGAGUCCUUGGAAGGGGUGAAGGUGGGGCUGAGGGACUCACGUGGCCAAGGAUGAACUUGACAAAUUAGCAAGAACCACGAAGAUAGGCAGGGCAGGCGUAGGCAGCAGGGGGAUGCUAAUGACAGUCACAGAGAUUCUUAGGGGUGUCUGAAGAGGUAGAAGCAGGGAGAGGAAGAGAGAGAGCACUGCUUGGGAGUAGAUGAUGCCUUGGAAACAAAUGUAGUCAGAGGAAGAACUCUUCAUUGGCUCUGUCACCUUUGCUGGGAGAAGGGCAGCUUUGCAGCUCUGGGCUGGGAAAGGGGCAAGUGUGUGAGCCCAGGAGGCCAGAAAUGUACCUGGGACCAAUCAGGUGUUCGUUAUCUCAGAGCCUCUGCUAGGUAUCUCAGGGACUCCAUGGAGCAUUUUCAUAAAAAGGGUGGGUCCCAGAAACCAUGGACUGCAAACUUGACUCCAAUCCCCAGUAAAAUAUCUACAACAGGCUAGUGAAGCAAUGGUUAGUGACCACGAGGGAAGCUUGCAGAGCAGGCAUCAGAAAGAGCCUGAGGAGAUCCACGGGGAAGCUGGCACAUCCUUGUAGGAUGGUUAAGGCACUGGGAUGAGCAAUGAACCUGGACUCACACACUGGGCUCUGUCACCAUUUCCCUGAAUGGCCUAAGCUGUUGCCUCCUGCCACCUCUCUGAGGUCAUUCUCCAAAUGCUCGUGGGCAUAGAGAACCCAUCCGUUCUGCCUACUUCCCAGGGAUGCCUUGAGCACUGAGGAUACCUGGGGGACAUGAAGUCGCACUGUCCUGGGGGUCGGGACACCCCAGCCAGGAACAGAGCAUGGCACAGGAACAUCGAGGCCCAGUGAGCCGACCCUUUGUCCUCCUCUCUGAGAGCGCUAGUUCGCAGCAGGCCUCAGGGUGCUGACUCUGACACUGUCUCUUUUCCAGGUGAAAACAGGAGUCAUAAUGAACAUAAUUGGAGUCUUCUGUGUGUUUUUGGCUGUCAACACCUGGGGACGGGCCAUAUUUGACUUGGAUCAUUUCCCUGACUGGGCUAAUGUGACACAUAUUGAGACUUAGGAAGAGCCACAAGACCAUGCACACAGCCCUUACCCUCCUCAGGACUACCGAACCUUCUGGCACACCUUGUACAGAGUUUUGGGGUUCACACCCCAAAAUGACCCAACGAUGUCCACACACCACCAAAACCCAGCCAAUGGGCCAACUCUUCCUCCAAGCCCAGAUGCAGAGUUGGUCAUGGGCAGCCGGAGGGCAGGCUCAGAAAUGAAGGGAACCUCUCAAUGGGCUGCUGGACCCAUCUUUCCCAAGCCUUGCCAUUAUCUCUGUGAGGGAGGCCAGGUAGCCGAGGGAUCAGGAUGCAGGCUGCUGUACCUGCUCUGCCUCAAGCAUCCCCCACACGGGGCUCUGGUUUUUACUCGCUUCGUCCUAGGUAGUUUAAAUGGGAAUCAGAUCCCCUGGUUGAGAGCUAAGACAACCACCUACCAGUGCCCAUGUCCCUUCCAGCUCACCUUGAGCAGCCUCAGAUCAUCUCUGUCACUUUGGAAGGGACAUCCCAGCCAGGGACGGAAUGCCUGGUCUUGAGCAACCUCCCACUGCUGGAGUGAGAGUGGGAAUCAGAGCCUCCUGGAGCCUCUGGGAACUCCUCGUGUGGCCACCAUCAAAGGAUGAGGAAUCUGAGUUGCCAACUUCAGGACGACACCUGGCUUCCCACCCACAGUGCACCACAGGCCGACCUACUCCCUUCGUCACUUGGUUCUGUUUUAAUCAACUGGCCCCCUGUCCCACCUCUCCAGUGAGCCUCCUUCAACUCCUUGGUCCCCUGUUGUCUGGGCCAACAUUUGUCGAGACGCCCUGGCUGGCACCCUCUGGGGUCCCCCUUUUCUCCCAGGCAGGUCAUCUUUUCUGGGAGAUGCUUCCCCUGCCAUCCCCAAAUAGCUAGGAUCACACUCCAAGUAUGGGCAGUGAUGGCACUCUGGGGGCCACAGUGGAUAUCUAGGUCCUCCCUCACCUGAGGCCCAGAGUGGACACAGUUGUUAAUUUCCACUGGCUAUGCCACUUCAGAGUCUUUCAUGCCAGCGUUUGAGCUCCUCUGGGGAAAAUCUUCCCUUUGUUGACUGGCCUUCACAGCCAUGGCUGGUGACAACAAAGGAUCGUGGAGAAUGAGCAGUGCUUGGUGAUCUCUCAGCAAACAACCCCUGCCCGUGGGCCAAUCUACUUGAAGUUACUCAGACAAAGACCCCAAAGUGGGGCAACAACAACUCCAGAGUGGCUGUGGGAAUCUUCAGAACCCCCCUGUAAGAGACAGACAUGAGAGACAAGCAUCUUCUUUCCCCCACAAGUCCAUUUUAUUUCCUUCUUGUGCUGCUCUGGAAGAGAGGCAGUAGCAAAGAGAUGAGCUCCUGGAUGGCAUUUUCCAGGGCAGGAGAAAGUAUGAGAGCCUCAGGAAACCCCAUCAAGGACCGAGUAUGUGUCUGGUUCCUUGGGUGGGACGAUUCCUGACCACACUGUCCAGCUCUUGCUCUCAUUAAACGCUCUGUCUCCCACG
rnacentral:sRNA from 1 species